rnacentral:siRNA from 1 species
AGAUUGAGCGAGUAGGAGAGGAU